UGAGGAAUAUUGCGCAAUGGACGAAAGUCUGACGCAGCCACGCCGCGUGCAGGAAGACACCCCUCAGGGGCGUAAACUGCUUUUGUACGAGAAGAACAUCCCGCUUGGCGGGAACUGACGGUAUCGUACGAAUAAGGACCGGCUAACUCCGUGCCAGCAGCCGCGGUAAUACGGAGGGUCCAAGCGUUGUCCGGAAUCACUGGGUGUAAAGGGUGCGCAGGCGGGCCUGUAAGUCAGGGGUGAAAGCCACCGGCUCAACCGGUGAAUUGCCCUUGAUACUGCAAGUCUUGAGUCCUGGAGAGGCUGUCGGAAUUCGUGGUGUAGCGGUGAAAUGCGUAGAUAUCACGAGGAACACCGGAUGCGUAAGCGGACAGCUGGACAGGUACUGACGCUCAGGCACGAAAGCGUGGGGAGCGAACAGG
rnacentral:rRNA from 1 species